GCUCUGGUGCUGGAAUUGGUAGACAGGCACGCUUCAGGAGCGUGUGUCGUAAGACGUGAGAGUUCGAGUCUCUCCCAGAGCA
rnacentral:tRNA from 1 species